rnacentral:rRNA from 1 species
AUUGAACGCUGGCGGCAGGCCUAACACACGCAAGUCGAGCGGCAGCGGGAAAGUAGCUUGCUACUUUUGCCGGCGAGCGGCGGACGGGUGAGUAAUGCCUGGGAAAUUGCCCAGUCGAGGGGGAUAACAGUUGGAAACGACUGCUAAUACCGCAUACGCCCUACGGGGGAAAGCAGGGGACCUUCGGGCCUUGCGCGAUUGGAUAUGCCCAGGUGGGAUUAGCUAGUUGGUGAGGUAAUGGCUCACCAAGGCGACGAUCCCUAGCUGGUCUGAGAGGAUGAUCAGCCACACUGGAACUGAGACACGGUCCAGACUCCUACGGGAGGCAGCAGUGGGGAAUAUUGCACAAUGGGGGAAACUCUGAUGCAGCCAUGCCGCGUGUGUGAAGAAGGCCUUCGGGUUGUAAAGCACUUUCAGCGAGGAGGAAAGGUUGAUGCCUAAUACGUAUCAACUGUGACGUUACUCGCAGAAGAAGCACCGGCUAACUCCGUGCCAGCAGCCGCGGCAAUACGGAGGGUGCAAGCGUUAAUCGGAAUUACUGGGCGUAAAGCGCACGCAGGCGGUUGGAUAAGUUAGAUGUGAAAGCCCCGGGCUCAACCUGGGAAUUGCAUUUAAAACUGUCCAGCUAGAGUCUUGUAGAGGGGGGUAGAAUUCCAGGUGUAGCGGUGAAAUGCGUAGAGAUCUGGAGGAAUACCGGUGGCGAAGGCGGCCCCCUGGACAAAGACUGACGCUCGGUGCGAAAGCGUGGGGAGCAAACAGG